rnacentral:rRNA from 1 species
UACGAAGGGGGCUAGCGUUGCUCGGAAUCACUGGGCGUAAAGGGCGCGUAGGCGGCCAUUCAAGUCGGAGGUGAAAGCCCAGGGCUCAACCCUGGAAUUGCCUUCGAUACUGUUUGGCUAGAGACCGGAAGAGGUAAGUGGAACUGCGAGUGUAGAGGUGAAAUUCGUAGAUAUUCGCAAGAACACCAGUGGCGAAGGCGGCUUACUGGUCCGGUUCUGACGCUGAGGCGCGAAAGCGUGUGGAGCAAACAGG